GGAGGUGACAUAGACUCGACAGACAGACAACAAAGACUCACAAAACAGAAACAGAGCUGCACAAUUCUCACAAAAUCUGGACAGUGAAAGGAAAUGGACAGUAUCCAACACAAAAGAAAUGAAAGCAGAUACUCAUAGAAUCAUCCAAACAAUUCAGUCCAUGGAAAACAGUCAAUCAGUUCAAGAGAUGAAUCAAGAGCAACAGAGCCUCACAGAUGCACACAAUCAGUGUCUCUCUCAAGUGUU
rnacentral:lncRNA from 1 species